rnacentral:rRNA from 1 species
GACGAACGCUGGCGGCGUGCUUAACACAUGCAAGUCGAACGGAAAGGCCCUGCUUUUGUGGGGUGCUCGAGUGGCGAACGGGUGAGUAACACGUGAGUAACCUGCCCUUGACUUUGGGAUAACUUCAGGAAACUGGGGCUAAUACCGGAUAGGAGCUCCUGCUGCAUGGUGGGGGUUGGAAAGUUUCGGCGGUUGGGGAUGGGCUCGCGGCUUAUCAGCUUGUUGGGGGGGUAGUGGCUUACCAAGGCUUUGACGGGUAGCCGGCCUGAGAGGGUGACCGGCCACAUUGGGACUGAGAUACGGCCCAGACUCCUACGGGAGGCAGCAGUGGGGAAUAUUGCACAAUGGGCGGAAGCCUGAUGCAGCAACGCCGCGUGCGGGAUGACGGCCUUCGGGUUGUAAACCGCUUUCGCCUGUGACGAAGCGUGAGUGACGGUAAUGGGUAAAGAAGCACCGGCUAACUACGUG